rnacentral:hammerhead_ribozyme from 1 species
AUCCAACUUACGAGUCCAAGAUAGGACAAAACUCACGUCCUGGAU